GUUAGAUAUUAGGCAGAAAUUCUUUACUGUGAGGGUGCUGAGGCACUGGCACUGGUCGCCCAGAGAAGCUGUGGAUGCCCCAUCCCUGGAAGUGUUCAAGGCCAGGUUGGAUGGGGCUCUGAGCAACCUGGUCUAGUGGGAGGUGUCCCUCCCUGCCCAUGGCCGGGGUUGAAACGAGAUGAUCUUUAAGGUCCCUUCAAACCCAAACCAUUCUAUGAUUCUGUGAUUAAAACAUCUCCCCAGGAUGAUAAACAUCUCCCCAGGAGACAUAGGACAAAGGAGAAGGGAUACCUGACUCUAAAAAUCAUUAAACACAGAGGUGCAGGAUACCCUGCUGCUACCUUUCCACAGAGGCAAUUAAUGCAGGUAGUAGUAUGCAGUUAGUCUAAGGCAGUCUAUUGAAAUGUAAUAACAAGAAUGAAAAAAAAAUCCCUUUGCCAAUAAGAUUCAGUGUGAAAUCUUACUGUUGCCUUUUCUUAUAAGAAAAGCUCUUUAUAAGAGCUAAAGGUUUACCCUAGGAAGAUGGCAAGAUAUACAUUCAUUUUCAUUGUUUCCCCCUGUGCAGGUCAAUUACAGUGUAACUGGCCUCAUUUGUUAUGGUAAUGAGAAUUUACACCUUUCUCAUCUUUUAUUAAUAAUUUGCUAGAUUAUUUAGGUGCUCUGAGUCAGUGGGCAUAUUCAGGGAAAUAUCAUGCCAAGUUUCUGAUCAGGAAGAGAUAAAAACAUACCAAGUGGUGAAUGUAUCAACUAACAACAUCUCUGUAUGGAACAGGCUGAAAUCAGAAAACUUGGCAGCAGGGUGGAGAUAAUACCAAAUACACCAGCAGGGCAAAAGUCUGUUUCUUUGAGGUUCUCUCUUCUUGGACACAUAUUCACAGCAGGAAAAAUCAAAGAUACAGAAGCACCAGUUCUAUUACAGUCCUUUGAGCAGCAGCAUAGGUCGAUUUGUGACAACAUGGAAUCUUCAGAAACACAUCAUGGACAAGGUACUGUACAUAAUUCCUCAAUAUUGUCCUCUUCCUACAGUUUUUUCAAGGUUUCAUUCUAUGCAGAUGAUGAAGUCUGACAAAAAAGUUGAAUACAAACAUUCUGAAGCUGUCCUAAUACAAAGUUCCUGAGCAAGUCUAUAAUGAUAUAUAUAGCAAUGUCUGCUGUCCAAAAUGCCUGUUGGCACUUUUGAGCAUCAGUGUUUCUGGUUGUUUCUAUCUUUGUCAGCCAUAACCAGUUAAAAGCCAUCAUGAAUUUUCAAAAGUUGUUAAUUUUGUUGGAAAAAGAUUAAUAAGACUAUGUUUCACGAUUUGGUAUCAUACAUGACCUAUUUUCUAGGGAUGAGACUUUGGUUAUCUUCAGGAGGGUACACCCAAAACCAAUCAGGUUUGCAGCCUCUGAAGAAUCUGUUAGACUGAGAUUGCCAAAUACCCCAGUGGCAUUGAUCACGCUCUCUCCACUCAUCUCUCUGAUCUGCUGACCACAGUGCAUGUCACAGCCCCACCUUGCAUCGUUUCCUGAUACUUCAGGAGUGACUCAUACAUCCUCGCGACUUUCUCUGAAAGCAGAUUCUGUCCCUUUUCUGUGCCUGGGGAGUUUCACAAAACCCACUUACCUGAUUUCUAGUGAACACCUGGAAAUGACCUUACAUCAUAUCCUGGUAUCACACUAAUUCUUACUGACUUCACGAAGAGCUGGAUUUAUCUCCUUGGCUCUGAUUCACAGUUCACUCGAGUCAAUAGAAAAAUCUCCCACUGAAGUCAAUGGCUCUUGAGUAUUUUAGUGAACUAAUACUUAUUCUCCAAACAGAUCUGGAUCAGAUGUAAAUUAGGGAGCAAAAGUUGAAAAAUACAGAUCACAUGAGUUUUCCUAAGGUAAGUUUACAUACUUCGUGUAUGUAGAGUUUGGUGACCAACACUUUUUGCUAUAUAGUAGAGCCAGUAACGUGCUCGUAGCAUUGAAAUUACAAUUUAUCUGAGCUGUAAUUAUGCUUUAAUAAGAGUAAACCACAACUAGCCUACACUGCACUGCCUAAUCAGCAGUCAGCUAUUUGAUAAGAGGAGGUAUCUCCAACAGUUGAUAAAAUUAUCCUGUUUAUAACCAAUAUGCAAGGCCUUACCUUUAGAGCUGUGUGCUGAGGAAAGUUUAUAUAGAAUAGCCAUUGAAUAUGGUCUCGUAUUUCGGCACAAAGAGGUACAAGCACCACAAAAGGUACAAAAAAGACGCUGCCUCCCAACCCCCCAGACACCAAGGUACCUGUGUAAUAAACUUCAACAGUCAGGCUCUUGUAUCUGUUUAGUCUCAUGUCUGCUUCACUGGCUUUGAUUCUACCGAGAAGCUGCCCUCAAAAUAACCGGGAAAGAGGGUAAGUUUAACACUGCUGUGAAUGGUCCUCAUUUCCAUUGCCUUGCUGGUGAAUGGGAUCAUGUAGAGCAACUCUCCUUCAAAAGUACUGAGCAAUGUUUAAACAAUAAUUUCUUCACAUUUGGGAAUCUAGUGAGACCACAGGUAGUGAGGUCCUUAUUCGUUCCUGCAAACUGGAGGCAAAUUAAAUGCUAGACUACAAAAAGCAGCAUGAUGCACCUACAUUUUCAGCAGAGUUACCUUAUCACUUUUUGCUGGUGCUAACUCACAUUUCACAAUGUGUCACAACACAACAGUGCCAAAACACACUGUGAGAGGCUCUAGGCCACACAAAUACCCUAAAACCAUUCAGCCCCUAGAUACUAAGGGUUAUGGCUAUUUUUUGACAACAAAGAUACCUAUGUGGUAUUUGAAGGUGGUUGUAGAAGCAGGGCUACUUUCAGUAUUAGCCACUCCAAGAUUUCAAGACUGCUUGGAUUUGUAAAACUAGGCAUAGAGUUUUACCUAUACAAAACAAGGAUCAGGAGAAGAAAGAGGACUGUGUGUACCAAGCCUGUUCUGUUUUUCUACAUUUACGUAUUAAAAAAAUAAAUAAAAUAAAGGCAAAAGUCCAUCAUAAAAUUUAUUAGUCCUUAUUAUCAAGGCUCACAUAGGUCAGCUUAGCAAUUUGAUAAUGACAAGAUAGCUCUUCUCAUUUUGAGCAAACCUGUAUAUUAAUAUGAAAUAAGAGGCUUAUAGUAAGGCAGGCAUUUCUGGCUUAUGAUCCUACUCAUCUUUCUGGAUAAUGCCAUCACUUGACGAAAGAGAUGCGAGAAGUCCGUAUUUGAGACUUUAGUCUUCCCAAGUUUUCAUAUUGCUAGGUCAAGCUUUCAUUUUGAAUCUUUGACAAGUGUAUCAGAAGAAUACACUUAUCAAUCAGAAACCAUGCAAAACCACAAGAAGAAUCAAGAUAAAUGCUGCAAAACUCUGAUUCAGGCUGUACCAAGAGCAAAUCCAAAGAGCUGUCCCUUUAACUAGGACCCAUCUGAGACAGCAGCAGGGCACUGGAGACAAAAACAACAUACAAAACCAGGUACAACACAAACACAGCUGUGCACAGAGACAAAACCACUAAGGUAGUUCACCAGCACUUUCGCUUCGAUCAUGCAAAGUUUUCAAACAGUUUCACUUACAGAGGUCUGCAUGUGCAGAAGCAGAAACAUGUUUUUGUUGUACAGUUAACUGGUGAGAGGAAGCUUCAAGUCUUUGAGCAGAAUGUCAUUCUGGUUUUAUCCUGUACUAAAAUAACUUGUUUUUCUAGGGUGCUAAUAUAUCUUUAGAAAGAUCUAUGCAUAUUUUUUAACUGAAUAAAUAAAUUCAAGGUUCAUAAAGCAUUUCCAGUGUACCAUACCUAUCUUUUGUCUUCCAUUUUGGCAUUGCUUUCACACUUUGGAAAGCCAUCUUAAAGCCUGCAGCCAGCUUUCCCGUGUUUCCUCCUCGGCAACCUGGCAGGGCUCUGGCACUACCUCCCAUUUUGUAGGAUCCCACAAAGCUGCGCUGCUCAGAGACAAAGCACUCAGGACUACUUUUUCCUGAGCGAGGAAAUGAGGAUACUGCAGCACCACGAGCGAAUCUUCAGAGCAACC
ensembl:lncRNA